CCUACGGGGGGCUGCAGUGGGGAAUAUUGCACAAUGGGCGCAAGCCUGAUGCAGCCAUGCCGCGUGUGUGAAGAAGGCCUUCGGGUUGUAAAGCACUUUCAGCGGGGAGGAAGGCGGUGAGGUUAAUAACCUCAUCGAUUGACGUUACCCGCAGAAGAAGCACCGGCUAACUCCGUGCCAGCAGCCGCGGUAAUACGGAGGGUGCAAGCGUUAAUCGGAAUUACUGGGCGUAAAGCGCACGCAGGCGGUCUGUCAAGUCGGAUGUGAAAUCCCCGGGCUCAACCUGGGAACUGCAUUCGAAACUGGCAGGCUAGAGUCUUGCAGAGGGGGGUAGAAUUCCAGGUGUAGCGGUGAAAUGCGUAGAGAUAUGGAGGAAUACCGGUGGCGAAGGCGGCCCCCUGGACAAAGACUGACGCUCAGGUGCGAAAGCGUGGGGAGCAAACAGGAUUAGAUACCCGUGUAGUC
rnacentral:rRNA from 1 species